rnacentral:pre_miRNA from 1 species
AGAUUUUUGAAUCCAUGCUGAGAUUUUGUCAGACACCAACCCAUUAAAGCUGAUCAAACUUCCAAGAUAAGUGAAGUU